GACGAACGCUGGCGGCGUGCUUAACACAUGCAAGUCGAACGGAAAGGCCCUGCUUUUGUGGGGUGCUCGAGUGGCGAACGGGUGAGUAACACGUGAGUAACCUGCCCUUGACUUUGGGAUAACUUCAGGAAACUGGGGCUAAUACCGGAUAGGAGCUCCUGCUGCAUGGGGGGGGUUGGAAAGUUUCGGCGGUUGGGGAUGGACUCGCGGCUUAUCAGCUUGUUGGUGGGGUAGUGGCUUACCAAGGCUUUGACGGGUAGCCGGCCUGGGAGGGUGACCGGCCCCAUUGGGACUGAGGUACGGCCCAGACUCCUACGGGAGGCAGCAGUGGGGAAUAUUGCCCAAUGGGCGGAAGCCUGAUGCGGCAACGCCGCGUGCGGGAUGACGGCCUUCGGGUUGUAAACCGCUUUCGCCUGUGACGAAGCGUGAGUGACGGUAAUGGGUAAAGAAGCACCGGCUAACUACGUG
rnacentral:rRNA from 1 species